GCAGCCUGAUGCAGCCAUGCCGCGUGUGUGAGAAGGCCUUCGGGUUGUAAAGCACUUUCAGUCAGGAGGAAAGGUUAGUAGUUAAUACCUGCUAGCUGUGACGUUACUGACAGAAGAAGCACCGGCUAACUCCGUGCCAGCAGCCGCGGUAAUACGGAGGGUGCGAGCGUUAAUCGGAAUUACUGGGCGUAAAGCGUACGCAGGCGGUUUGUUAAGCGAGAUGUGAAAGCCCCGGGCUCAACCUGGGAACUGCAUUUCGAACUGGCAAACUAGAGUGUGAUAGAGGGUGGUAGAAUUUCAGGUGUAGCGGUGAAAUGCGUAGAGAUCUGAAGGAAUACCGAUGGCGAAGGCAGCCACCUGGGUCAACACUGACGCUCAUGUACGAAAGCGUGGGGAGCAAACAGGAUUAGAUACCCUGGUAGUCCACGCCGUAAACGAUGUCUACUAGAAGCUCGGAACCUCGGUUCUGUUUUUCAAAGCUAACGCAUUAAGUAGACCGCCUGGGGAGUACGGCCGCAGGUUAAAACUCA
rnacentral:rRNA from 1 species